rnacentral:misc_RNA from 1 species
CCUUAAGAUGUCGAAGUUGUUGAGUGUUCACACAGAUUGCCUUGAUUCAAGUUUAGAGACAGUACACGAAGUGGGUCUGUAGCUCAGGUGGUUAGAGCGCACCCCUGAUAAGGGUGAGGUCGGUGGUUCGAGUCCACUCAGACCCACCACUUCGUAUCCCGAUUAUGGGGCUAUAGCUCAGCUGGGAGAGCGCCUGCUUUGCACGCAGGAGGUCUGCGGUUCGAUCCCGCAUAGCUCCACCAUAAUCCGUACUGAAUUUUGCGAGAAGCAAAGCCAUGAGUUGAACGAAAUGUUCAAUCUAUGUCUUUGACUUCUUUAUGAAGUUUGCUCUUUAACAAUCUGGAAAGCUGAUUUAAAAAGUAGUUCUCAAACAUUUGUACAAGUGCUUUGGAAACUUCUUGGCGAAAACCAAAUUUUAUUUGGUUCUUGUUGUACGAUAACAAGCUGCGUCGGUUUCACCGACACUUCUUGGGGUUGUAU